rfam:Desertifilum sp. IPPAS B-1220 NODE_4_length_194086_cov_34.7704, whole genome shotgun sequence.
AUUGCAAUUUCAUCUAAUCCCUAAUAGGGAUUGAAAC